GAUGAACGCUAGCGGCAGGCUUAAUACAUGCAAGUCGAGGGACAGCACAGGUAGCAAUACUGGGUGGUAACCGGCAAACGGGUGCGGAACACGUACACAACCUUCCUUUAAGUGGGGGAUAGCCCAGAGAAAUUUGGAUUAAUACCCCGUAAUAUAGUUGAAUGGCAUCAUUUGAUUAUUAUAGCUACGGCGCUUAAUGAUGGGUGUGCGGCUGAUUAGAUAGUUGGCGGGGUAACGGCCCACCACGUCUACGAUCAGUAGCUGAUGUGAGAGGAUGGGCAGCCAGACGGGCACUGAGACACGGGCCCGACUCCUACGGGAGGCAGCAGUAAGGAAUAUUGGUCAAUGGACGCAAGUCUGAACCAGCCAUGCCGCGUGAAGGAUUAAGGUGCUCUGGAUUGUAAACUUCUUUUAUUUGAGACGAAAAAGGGUCUUUCUAGACCAACUGACGGUACCAGAUGAAUAAGCACCGGCUAACUCCGUGCCAGCAGCCGCAGUAAAAC
rnacentral:rRNA from 1 species